rnacentral:rRNA from 1 species
UACGAAGGGGGCUAGCGUUGUUCGGAAUCACUGGGCGUAAAGCGUACGUAGGCGGACCGUUAAGUCGGGGGUGAAAUCCCAGGGCUCAACCCUGGAACUGCCUUCGAUACUGGCGGUCUGGAGUCCGGGAGAGGUGAGUGGAACUCCUAGUGUAGAGGUGAAAUUCGUAGAUAUUAGGAAGAACACCAGUGGCGAAGGCGGCUCACUGGCCCGGUACUGACGCUGAGGCACGAAAGCGUGGGGAGCAAACAGG